GUCCAUAUAUUUGGAAUUUGGCUAUGGACGUGUUGCUGAGGAGGCUGGAGCAGGAGUGCACCUUCAGCGCUUAUGCUGAUGACCUGCUCAUCCUCGUGGAGGCGAACGCGAGACGUGCGUUGGAAGAGGAGAGCGAGCGGCUGAUGAGCAUCGUCGGAGAGUGGGGUGCCGAAGCAGGCGUUUCGGUAUCCACCACUAAGACACACAUCAUGCUGCUGAAGGGUACUUUGGCACGCAGCAGACCUCCCUGGGUACGUUACCGGGGGAUGGCUCUGCCGUACGUGCCCUGCACAAAGUACCUGGGCAUUAUGGUCGGCGAGCGGAUGAGCUUUAUGCCGCACAUAGUGUCCCUACGCGGGAAGAUGCUGGGCGUCGCGGGAAGACUGGCGCGAGUGCUGCGCGUGGACUGGGGCCUCAGUCCGGAGGCAAAGAGAACCAUCUAUGCGGGCCUGAUGAUACCGUGCGCACUGUUUGGUGCGUCGGUAUGGUACCGACAGGCAGGGCAGGUUGCGCCCAAGAGGCGCCUCAUGUCCUGCCAGAGAGUGACACUACUGGCAACACUGCCAGUGUGUCGCACAGUCUCGACGGUCGCGCUACAGGUGCUGGCAGGAGCCGCACCGUUUGACUUGGUUGCCAAGCAAUUGGCAAUCAUGUUCAAACUGCGCAAGGGCUACCCGCUGGAGGAGGGAGAGUGGCUGCACGGCCAGGACUUGGCGGACGUGGAUAAGAGGCAGAGGAAGGCGCUGCUAGACGAAUGCCUGCUACGUGAGUGGCAGCUCCGAUGGGAUGACGACGGUGAGUGCGGGCGCACGACCCAUCGUUUUUUCCCAGACGCAGGCUUCGUCUACAGUCGCAGGAGCUUCAGGUUCAGCCUGCGUGCUGGAUUCCUGAUGACGGGACAUGGCUCGAUGAACGAGUUUCUGCACAGGAGAGGCAUCGCCGACGCGCCUGCAUGCUCAUGCGGCGCUGAGGAGGAGGAUUGGCUGCACAUCUUGUGUGUAUGCCCGCUGUACGCGGAUCUUCGUGACCUCGCAGGACUUGGGAUCGAGUUGAGGAGCGGCAUCUGGAGGGUGUCUGGUGUGACGGAGACGCCAGAGAGGAUGCAGAGGCUGGAGGCGUUCGCUGACGCUGUGUUCGCACGGCGUCGGCAACGUGAUGAACAGCCGGUGAACAUUGGGCUGCCAGUCCCGGGCUAAAAUCAGCCAAAACUGGCACCUCCCCCGUGUGAUGGCGGGGCUUAGAAUACCAUCUCAGCGGUCACGGCUUGUCGUAUGAGGCGACUGAUGUGGCAAAAAGCUGGUUAACCCAUCCGUGCUGUCGGGCAAAAGGGCCAGGGCUCACCGAGUCCUACUCAUGCCGCUGUUCAGGGCGGUAUGAGUUGAAGUUUCGGUACUACGGGUUGGGGAGUUCUCCAAGGGCUCCCCAUUGAGGUAGGCCCCCUUGUGGGAGUAUCGUAGUGGCUGUGGUUGUCACCUACAUCGCGGGUAGAGUAUUGGCUUCGGCCUUUAUUCGGCGUGGAGUUGCGUUUUCCAACCGGGCGCUGCGACCCUGAGAGCAGCAGAGGUGUUUAGAUGCACUUCGCCUCCCAUCCAAGAGGGGGAUAUAUGCCCGACAAGCAUAUAUCCCGAAUUGGUACUGGCGAAGCUCCCACUGUAUUUGCUGGUGGUUGUUAGCUGGGGCGACUGGUUUGGCGCAUCGUACCAAAACCCGUGCACUGUAGUCGGUCUUGUGUACAUACACACUGUGAAUGCAGUGUGUAUGCACACUUGUCUGACUUGAGUGUUGUGGUAGUAAACCCUUUGUGUGGUACACGCCACAUAAAACAAAUCCCGGAGAGAUCCGUGACGAAUGUCCCUAUCUACUAUCUAGCGAAACCACAGCCAAGGGAACGGGCUUGGAAUAAUUAGCGGGGAAAGAAGACCCUUUUGAGCUUGACUCUAAUCUGGCAGUGUAAGGAGACAUAAGAGGUGUAGAAUAAGUGGGAGAUAUUAGAUUUCGGUUUAGUAUCGCCAAUGAAAUACCACUACUCUUAUUGUUUCCUUACUUACUUGAUUAAAUGGAACGUGUAUCAUUUCCUAGCCAUUAUACGGAUAUAUUUUUAUAUAUCUUAUGGUAUUGGGUUUUGAUGCAAGCUUCUUGAUCAAAGUAUCAUGAGUUUGUUAUAUAAUUGCAAACAAAUUCUAAUAAUGAGAGGAUGCGCAUUUAUGUGUAUUUUCAAUUUAUGAAUUUGGUAUAACUCCAAUUACUCCGGUAUGAUCCAAUUCAAGGACAUUGCCAGGUAGGGAGUUUGACUGGGGCGGUACAUCUCUCAAAUAAUAACGGAGGUGUCCCAAGGCCAGCUCAGUGCGGACAGAAACCACACAUAGAGCAAAAGGGCAAAAGCUGACUUGAUCUCGGUGUCCAGUACACACAGGGACAGCAAAAGCUCGGCCUAUCGAUCCUUUUGGUUUAAAGAGUUUUUAACAAGAGGUGUCAGAAAAGUUACCAUAGGGAUAACUGGCUUGUGGCGGCCAAGCGUUCAUAGCGACGUCGCUUUUUGAUCCUUCGAUGUCGGCUCUUCCUAUCAUUGUGAAGCAAAAUUCACCAAGCGUUGGAUUGUUCACCCAUGCAAGGGAACGUGAGCUGGGUUUAGACCGUCGUGAGACAGGUUAGUUUUACCCUACUAAUGACAAAAACGUUGUUGCGACAGCAUUCCUGCGUAGUACGAGAGGAACCGCAGGUACGGACCUAUGGCACAAUACUUGUUCGAGCGAACAGUGGUAUGACGCUACGUCCGUUGGAUUAUGCCUGAACGCCUCUAAGGUCGUAUCCGUGCUGGACUGCAAUGAUAAAAAUGGGGCAAUUUGCAUUGUAUGGCUUCUAAAUCAUUAAAAGUUUAUAUGCAUUUAUAAACGACAAUGAAUAUGUGAUGCCAAUGUUAUGAGUAACAUAGUUAACUUUGGAGGAUCUUCGAUCACCUGGUGCCAAUGCUAGUUACUUAUUAAAACAUUAUUUAAUACAAUGACAAAGCC
rnacentral:rRNA from 1 species